rnacentral:rRNA from 1 species
ACGGACGCUGGCGGCGUGCCUAAUACAUGCAAGUAGAACGCUGAAGAGAGGAGCUUGCUCUUCUUGGAUGAGUUGCGAACGGGUGAGUAACGCGUAGGUAACCUGCCUUGUAGCGGGGGAUAACUAUUGGAAACGAUAGCUAAUACCGCAUAACAAUGGAUGACACAUGUCAUUUAUUUGAAAGGGGCAAUUGCUCCACUACAAGAUGGACCUGCGUUGUAUUAGCUAGUAGGUGAGGUAACGGCUCACCUAGGCGACGAUACAUAGCCGACCUGAGAGGGUGAUCGGCCACACUGGGACUGAGACACGGCCCAGACUCCUACGGGAGGCAGCAGUAGGGAAUCUUCGGCAAUGGGGGCAACCCUGACCGAGCAACGCCGCGUGAGUGAAGAAGGUUUUCGGAUCGUAAAGCUCUGUUGUAAGUCAAGAACGAGUGUGAGAGUGGAAAAUUCACACUGUGACGGUAGCUUACCAGAAAGGGACGGCUAACUACGUGCCAGCAGCCGCGGUAAUACGUAGGUCCCGAGCGUUGUCCGGAUUUAUUGGGCGUAAAGCGAGCGCAGGCGGUUUGAUAAGUCUGAAGUUAAAGGCUGUGGCUCAACCAUAGUUCGCUUUGGAAACUGUCAAACUUGAGUGCAGAAGGGGAGAGUGGAAUUCCAUGUGUAGCGGUGAAAUGCGUAGAUAUAUGGAGGAACACCGGUGGCGAAAGCGGCUCUCUGGUCUGUAACUGACGCUGAGGCUCGAAAGCGUGGGGAGCGAACAGGAUUAGAUACCCUGGUAGUCCACGCCGUAAACGAUGAGUGCUAGGUGUUGGAUCCUUUCCGGGAUUCAGUGCCGCAGCUAACGCAUUAAGCACUCCGCCUGGGGAGUACGACCGCAAGGUUGAAACUCAAAGGAAUUGACGGGGGCCCGCACAAGCGGUGGAGCAUGUGGUUUAAUUCGAAGCAACGCGAAGAACCUUACCAGGUCUUGACAUCCCGAUGCUAUUUCUAGAGAUAGAAAGUUACUUCGGUACAUCGGUGACAGGUGGUGCAUGGUUGUCGUCAGCUCGUGUCGUGAGAUGUUGGGUUAAGUCCCGCAACGAGCGCAACCCCUAUUGUUAGUUGCCAUCAUUCAGUUGGGCACUCUAGCGAGACUGCCGGUAAUAAACCGGAGGAAGGUGGGGAUGACGUCAAAUCAUCAUGCCCCUUAUGACCUGGGCUACACACGUGCUACAAUGGUUGGUACAACGAGUUGCGAGUCGGUGACGGCAAGCUAAUCUCUUAAAGCCAAUCUCAGUUCGGAUUGUAGGCUGCAACUCGCCUACAUGAAGUCGGAAUCGCUAGUAAUCGCGGAUCAGCACGCCGCGGUGAAUACGUUCCCGGGCCUUGUACACACCGCCCGUCACACCACGAGAGUUUGUAACACCCGAAGUCGGUGAGGUAACCUUUUGGAGCCAGCCGCCUAAGGUGGGAUAGAUGAUUGGGGUG